rnacentral:miRNA from 1 species
AGGUGUACGAGGUAGAUCCACA